rfam:Cordyceps militaris CM01 unplaced genomic scaffold CCM_S00002, whole genome shotgun sequence.
AUCCCAGUGCACGGGCGUCUUCCUUCUCCGUGAAGCGAUAAGCUGAGAGAGGAAUUUUGCUAGUUGAAAACUAUAACAGACCACUCUUUUUUGGAUUUAUCCGGGAAAGGAAUUUUUGGAACCCUUUACUCUUUGUUUCGCAGAGAAGU